rnacentral:rRNA from 1 species
GAUGAACGCUGGCGGCGUGCCUAAUACAUGCAAGUCGAGCGAACAGAUGAGGAGCUUGCUCCUCUGACGUUAGCGGCGGACGGGUGAGUAACACGUGGAUAACCUACCUAUAAGACUGGGAUAACUUCGGGAAACCGGAGCUAAUACCGGAUAAUAUAUUGAACCGCAUGGUUCAAUAGUGAAAGACGGUUUUGCUGUCACUUAUAGAUGGAUCCGCGCCGCAUUAGCUAGUUGGUAAGGUAACGGCUUACCAAGGCAACGAUGCGUAGCCGACCUGAGAGGGUGAUCGGCCACACUGGAACUGGGACACGGUCCAGACUCCUACGGGAGGCAGCAGUAGGGAAUCUUCCGCAAUGGGCGAAAGCCUGACGGGGCAACGCCGCGUGAGUGAUGAAGGUCUUCGGAUCGUAAAACUCUGUUAUUAGGGAAGAACAAAUGUGUAAGUAACUAUGCACGUCUUGACGGUACCUAAUCAGAAAGCCACGGCUAACUACGUG